CACGUAGGGUGCGAGCGUUGUCCGGAAUUAUUGGGCGUAAAGAGCUCGUAGGCGGUGUGUCGCGUCGGCCGUGAAAACCUGCAGCUUAACUGUGGGCUUGCGGUCGAUACGGGCAUCACUGGAGUUCGGCAGGGGAGACUGGAAUUCCUGGUGUAGCGGUGAAAUGCGCAGAGUAUCAGGAGGAACACCGGUGGCGAAGGCGGGUCUCUGG
rnacentral:rRNA from 1 species